rnacentral:tRNA from 1 species
GGUGAUUUAGCUCAGUGGUGCAGCACCUGCCUGGCAAGCAAGAGGUCCUGAGUUCAAUCCCCGGUACCA